GCGUCAGUAGUGCAACGUUUCAACACACACUCCCGGAAAGAGUGAGAUAUGGGUUCGAAUCCCGACUGACGCA